UACGAGAGGUCUCAAGCGUUGUUCGGAUUCAUUGGGCGUAAAGGGUGCGUAGGCGGCGCGGUAAGUCGGGUGUGAAAUCUCGGAGCUUAACUCCGAACUGCAUUCGAUACUGCCGUGCUUGAGGACUGGAGAGGAGACUGGAAUUUACGGUGUAGCGGUGAAAUGCGUAGAUAUCGUAAGGAAGACCAGUGGCGAAGGCGGGUCUCUGGACAGUUCCUGACGCUGAGGCACGAAGGCCAGGGGAGCAAACGGG
rnacentral:rRNA from 1 species